rnacentral:tRNA from 1 species
GUGUAGCUCAAUGGUAGAGUGCUUGUCUAGCAUACAAGGUCUUGGGUUCCAUCCCUAGCAC